CCGAGACAAAUUUCCUUCAAGGUUUUUUCUGCCUUCUCUUGGUGUUCUCACUGACACACGCUUGCGCCCCACACCCGCAUUGACCAGCGCACAUGCUGCAACGGUUUUUGUGAUUGUUGUGGACACGCCACCGUUUUUCCGCUCCUCCUCUUGUGCCGCGUUCUCGCUAUCCUCUCUGCCUCGAGAGUCGGCGGCGCGCACGCUGACUCCGCUUUGUUUGUUUUCUUGCCCUCGGCCCCUGCCCCCACCACCUCCUCCGGUCUCCCCUCCUCGCCUGGCGUCAGCACAUCGUCACGGAGAAAGGCCUCAUUCAUCACACACACACACACACAAUUCCGUAAUUGAGAAGAAAACGAACCACCGCGCGGGGGUAGAGUCGACCGUUUCAGAUUGAAGGAGUGGCCUUGCUCCCCUCCCUCUCCCCAAAACACACACAUACACACACAGAUAGAUUCCGUAGAGCCGCCCCAUACAUCCGGGAAACUCGCCUCUCGUCUUUCCUAGCGAGCACCUUCUUUUGUUACGGUUUGCGUUCUAUCCUUCAUCAUCUUGCACGUCCCAGCCCGGCACCACAUUCCGCACCUCCUUUCGGUGACUGUCCGUGGCGUGCAUAUCGGCCAAAGGAACCGAUACAGAAACACGCAGACGUGCUCUGGCGGAGACGAUAUCAGGUGCAAGCACCAGGCAGUCGUGUGCCCUUUUUUGUUUUCUGUGAUCUCUCUUUUUCUUCUAUCGUUUAUAGCAUAGACUUGCCGACGAAGCAGCCCCACGCGCCACUACGACGUCACAGUAGGUCCGAGGUACAUCGGUCGCAGACCAUGCCCAUCAGCCAGCGCGUUGCCGUCGUGCAUGAUGCCGCCACCACGCCUGAGCAGUUGGAUGCAUUUCAGCGAGCGUGCCCCAAGUCGUGUGAUUUCUUCCCUGCGAAGGAUGCUGCUCAGCUGCAGUGCGUUGUGCAGCACAUCCACGCUGCGAGUCCGUCUGUAUACGAAGUCGUGGUCAACCUCUGCACUGACGGGUCGGGCGGCGCCAACGGUGGCGUCACGCCCGCACUCGCCACUCUCUUCUUUCACCACGCGUCGCUGUCCUACACGGGAUGCCGUGCUGCGACGCUCAACCAUCCGUUCGACGUGCUUCUCAUGAUGCUCUUCUACGCAGAUGUGCCGCUGCCGCCGUUUGCACUUGUCGAUUCUGUGGAGGCGGCGAGGCGCGCCGCGCACAGGCUGAAAGCCCCGGUACAAAUCCGCAAUACAUGCGGGCUGCUUGGACUCUACCGCGACUGCUGCACGGUUCAGGAUGCCGUGGAGGCCACCCUGAUACGCGCCCUUCACGAGCAUGGAAAGAUCGUCGCGUGGGAGGUAAACGAGUCAAAGGAGCGCGCGGUGCGCGUGCUCGUUGCUGGCGGCUCCGUGAAGGGGGCGGCGGCCGCCAUUCCUGUUGAGUCAUGCGCAACGGCGCCGCUGUGGGCUGCCCGUGCGGAGGAAGCCGCGCAGCGUUUUGGAUCGGCGGUCAGCCGUUACGUCUUGUACGACUGUGGCGUCGCGUCUUUAACGCUCAACACGUUGAAAGAGAACCCCGGCAAGUGGUGUUUCGAAGAUCUUGUGCUGAAUCCAGCCCUACCUCACCUCGUGCUGCAGGAGGCCGUGCCAAACUUGCUGGCGUCGGCGCCGACGGCGGCAGAGCUGGUCGCCUCGCUGCUGGCAGAGGCGCGAAAGUUCCACCCCGCUCCCACCUUUGAAAUCAAACUGCACGAGGACUCCCGCAAAGGGUACCACCUGUGUGCCACCAAAGCUCUUCGCAAGGGUGACGUGGUGUUCGAGGAUGAGUGCCGCAGCUUUGCGGUGGUGACUCGCCCGCACGUGGAGCGGCACUGGGAUGACCCGCUCAAGAAGACCUUCACCGAGUACGCGUGGCCGCUGGACUCCGAGGGCCACGUGUACGCCAUCUGGGAGGAGGACCCGCAGCGUUGGCGGCCCAUCAAUCAUUCGUGCGACCCGAACUGCAUCUUUGCCGCACCGUACUCCCUUAACGUCAUCGCGGCGCGCGAUAUUGCGGCCGGCGAGGACUUGAGCAUGGACUACGCCACCUUUUGCGACGGAACGAUGAAGCCGUUCGAGUGCCUGUGCGGCGCGGCGUGCUGCCGUGGUGUUAUCAGCGCCGACGCCUGCUCCCUCGCCAAGUACGGUGAGCACUCGUGGCUGCGCAAGGUGCCAUCGGCAGUGAAGCCUCUUCUUCCUUGAAUACAUGAGUGAGACGCUCCGCGGCGCGUGCGAGUGGCCUGCACGUGCGAGCUCUCGAGGAGACUCUGUACUGGUAAGGUGCGGUAUGCCGGUGUGUGCGGCGGUCAGCUCAGCGGUCGGGGGCACAGGAGCUGUGAGGACGGCGAGAGGGGGGGCACAAGAGGUAGCGAAGAGGGGGAGGGGGGCUAUUAAUAUCCUCUGGUGUACGGAGCGCUCGCACAAAAGCCGCCGGCACAUGUGCUGUUUGUUUUCACUUUGGCAUUUUCCUGCUCUGUUGGCCAGUGGGCUCCGUCUUUUUUCUGGGUGCUUGCUUGAGUGUCCUCUGUGCAGUCCCAGCCCCUGCUGUGUAACUCCCCGGGCUCCUGUCUUUCGCACAUGCCCGCCGGUGCCAUCCUGUCGUCCCCGUUGCAGUGCAGCGCGUGGACUUAACUUUCCACAACCCCAAGUGCUCCACACCAAAAAAGAGAUUUCAAAGGAAAGCGUGAGUAUCUUGAAACGUGCGUGCGCCACACACGCGGGCAUAGCGUCGGCCAAACCAAUGCGGCUUCUCCUCCCCUUUUUUUUGCGAGUCCCCCUCCUUUUCGGCGCCUUGGUCCCCGCCCCACCCCCGCCCUCCACCGUCUCUGCCGACGUGUUCUCUCUUCUUCUGCAUAUCUUCCCUGACACGUUUCUUUCUGCGUACCCUCUGCGUUUUCUGGUAUUCUCUUUGUAUCAAAAG
rnacentral:misc_RNA from 1 species